rnacentral:rRNA from 1 species
AGUGAACGCUGGCGGUAGGCCUAACACAUGCAAGUCGAACGGCAGCACAGUAAGAGCUUGCUCUUACGGGUGGCGAGUGGCGGACGGGUGAGGAAUACAUCGGAAUCUACUUUUUCGUGGGGGAUAACGUAGGGAAACUUACGCUAAUACCGCAUACGACCUACGGGUGAAAGCAGGGGAUCUUCGGACCUUGCGCGAUUGAAUGAGCCGAUGCCGGAUUAGCUAGUUGGCGGGGUAAAGGCCCACCAAGGCGACGAUCCGUAGCUGGUCUGAGAGGAUGAUCAGCCACACUGGAACUGAGACACGGUCCAGACUCCUACGGGAGGCAGCAGUGGGGAAUAUUGGACAAUGGGCGCAAGCCUGAUCCAGCCAUACCGCGUGGGUGAAGAAGGCCUUCGGGUUGUAAAGCCCUUUUGUUGGGAAAGAAAAGCAGCAGGUUAAUACCACGCUGUUCUGACGGUACCCAAAGAAUAAGCACCGGCUAACUUCGUG